CUGCGCGCAGCAUCCCUUUUAAAGACAUCGCUGGGCACAAAGGCGGUCUCCCAGAGCAGGAUCCUAGGCUGAAACGAAACUUUCUUGGAAUAAGUAAAUAGCAAAGGUUCAGCUCCAUCAUUUUUACUUGUCUCCCCGGUGUGCUCUUCAGGCUGACAGUCCCUUUCACCCUGCUCUCUGCACCUCCCUCUCUGCCUGGUGGGAAGGUGGUUCCUGGGGUGCCAGAGUUCAUUCCUGUGUGCAGAGCCCUGCUCAGCAGAGGAAGCUGUGGGAGGGCCAUCCUGCUGCCCCAGCUGGAUGAAGUAAUCUUGGAGCAUGGGUGCGGUGGUGAAAGACACACACAAUGAAUUUACAUCUCUUGGAUAAAAGGAGAAACCGAAGAAAGAUUUCCCCUCUGAGCUGGCUUUUAUCGUCAGUGCGAACAUCUUAGUCAGCACAAGCUCAGACUUCUAAAAUUGUGCAGCCCUGUGCUGUGAGAACCUCUGCAGCUUCCUGCUUCCCUGCAUCAGCCAAGGAUAAAGGCUCCAGGAGCUGGUGCUCCUCUGGCAGGAAUGGCUGAGCCCAGGCCAGGUGAGUGGCAGGCCCUGAAACUCUGUGUGUGACCCUGCUCCUCUGGAAUGUGGGAAAACACCCUCCCAUUUGAUUUCAACAAAUCACCUCAAGCCAGAUCCUGUAGCAUGUUGAGCAUCAGUGGAUAUAGACUAGAGAACAGAAUUAGCUGGGAGAAUCCUAAUGUUUUGUGAAAUCAUUUCCAUGACACAGAUGUGAUACCAGAGUGGGAUGCUGCAUGUUUAAGUACUCAAGUCUCCAGGAAGCAAGAAUAUGCAGAUACUCUGACUCACUAGAAGAAAAAUUACUUGUAGUGACUCAAACACUUGGAUGCUGUGGAUUCCUAAUUAAUCACUGUGCUCCAUCAUGGGUCCAAAAUCCUCCUUUCAGGACCAGAGAAUGUUUGUGGCCUUGAGGAUUCCUGCUCUGGUGCAGCUGUCUAGGUGGACAUAUUAACCUCUUGCUGCCUGUCUGCAGUAUGGUCUGCAGACCUAAUUAAUUCCCGGGCUGGUAGCAGAAAUGACCUGGUAGGCUCUGAAAGCUUGAUGAUGGUAGUUUUGCCUAAAAGAGGGACUUAGCAGGGAACACUUUGUUGGGGUGACCAUGUGACUUGAGGAAUCCCCAGGAAGGUCUACUGCAGGUUUGGCAGCAAUCUCACGGCCAAGGGGCUGCAGACUCAGACUUUUCUGGGAGGAGUUUGAUCCAGUGGUGUGUUGGAGCUGGGAAACCCUGGGGAACCCUGCAACCCUGCCCUUCUUUUGCAAGAGAACAGUACGAGGUGCCUCCCUCUGCCUUGACGUGCCUGGUCGGCUGGGAAGCUGUUCCCAUUGGGCGAAAGGUGAAAUUUAUGUCUUUCAUAACUUUGUGUUUGGAUUUUGUGCUGUGCUCAUUUUGUACAACGUGGUACAGAACACGAGUAUUAUGCAUUCAGAUAGUUCAUCUCCUCUGCCCUAAGCCCAAAGUGCAUGCUGCUGUCACCACAGGAAAAUAGUGUGACCACGGAUGGAAGCAAAGAAUGCUUCUUUUCAGAGUUUGUGCUAAUUUUGCCCUUAAUUGGUAUGUUACAAACCUAGCAAAUCAUAAAUAAAACCUGAAUUUUCCUUUUUCUAAAACUAGGUCUUAAAAUAUAACUUGACUUAGAUUUGAGUUGAAAAGGCAAGCUUUUGAGAGAGAUGAAGCAUGCCCUCAUGUGGCAAUAUUUUUUCCUUAUAAUACCUGUUUGUUUUGGGUUUAAUCCCCAAAUAAUCUAUUACAACGAGUUAUGUCAUGACGUCAGAGCUGGCAUACAGCGUGGGUGUUGUGAUACAAAGCUGGUGUGCACACAAAAUGUUCAGAAAUAAUUGUAUGAGCUCUAACUCUCCUGUUACUUGAGUCCCUGCAUGAGUGUUUUUAUUCUAAAAUAAGACUAGCUCCACACAGGCGUUCACAAACAAACAAAGGUGUGAAAUAAAACUUGUCCUGUCCUCUGCUCUGUGGGGAAGUCAUUUUCCACAACUGAGAGCAAAGUUUAAAAUUGUUACAAAGUGGACAACUUGGUUUGAAACCAGAAUAAUUGAUUUUGAAGUCGAUUUUAAUCUAAACCAAAAUAAACUGAAAAUUAAAUACACAUUCACAGAGCUGGUGUGAAUAACUCACUGUAAAAAUCAUGGUAUUUGUUGAGCUGCUAGAACUUCCUCAUGUCUAUACAAGGUUUGCAACUAUGUAGAUAAACUUUUGGAAGCCUGGCUCUUCUGUGAGUUUUACAUUUUUUUGACACA